rnacentral:lncRNA from 1 species
AGGGUGUAUAAAAAAAAACUGAACAGAUUUAAAAUUGCUCUCAAUUUCGCAAAACAGCUAUUUGUAGCUGGUUUUAUAUAUAUAUAACUUCUUUGGGUACUAAAAAUGUAAAAUAAUGAAAAAAAUUUCUCGAACUCAAAUUUUGUGAACCAGGGGUGUGUGUCUUUUCCAACAAACUAAAAGUGGCUCGCGCACAAAAUUUAAAAGCUGCAAUCAUAUUUUGAGUUACCAGAUGGACAAUUUGUCGGGAUUUUAAUUACUGUACAAAAUUUCAGACAAUUUGGUUUAGUUUAAGCCCUUAACUAUUCACGCAAAGUUACAAUUUUCCCGAAAAAUCAGCUAUUUGCAUGCUUAAUUAAUGCAUUUGCCUAAUUUGCAUAUGUCAGCAAUAUGCAAAUUAGGUAAAGGCAUUAAUUAAGCAUGCGAAAGGCUGACUUUUUGGAACAAAAUGAAUAGUUAAAGGGCUUAAACUAAACCAAAUUAUCUGAAAUUUUGUACAG